UUCCUGAUGAAAUUGUGUUUAUGAAUUUUAGGCCAAAUAGGCAGAUAAUUACUGUGCCAU
rnacentral:snoRNA from 1 species